GGGGUUGUAGCUUAGUGAUUAGAGCGUCGGACUUGCGGCUGAAAGGUCGGGGGUUCGAAUCUCUACCCACUCUU
rnacentral:tRNA from 1 species